rnacentral:rRNA from 1 species
GACGAACGCUGGCGGCGUGCCUAAUACAUGCAAGUUGAGCGCUGAAGGUUGGUACUUGUACCAACUGGAUGAGCAGCGAACGGGUGAGUAACGCGUGGGGAAUCUGCCUUUGAGCGGGGGACAACAUUUGGAAACGAAUGCUAAUACCGCAUAAAAACUUUAAACACAAGUUUUAAGUUUGAAAGAUGCAAUUGCAUCACUCAAAGAUGAUCCCGCGUUGUAUUAGCUAGUUGGUGAGGUAAAGGCUCACCAAGGCGAUGAUACAUAGCCGACCUGAGAGGGUGAUAGGCCACAUUGGGACUGAGACACGGCCCCAACUCCUACGGGAGGCAGCAGUAGGGAAUCUUCGGUAAUGGACGAAAGUCUGACCGAGCAACGCCGCGUGAGUGAAGAAGGUUUUCGGAUCGUAAAACUCUGUUGGUAGAGAAGAACGUUGGUGGGAGUGGAAAGCUCAUCAAGUGACGGUAACUACCCAGAAAGGGACGGCUAACUACGUG